AGGAAUUCCCCAUGCAGGGAUGCUGCUCAGAUGAGUUUGUAGCAUUCUGCUCCCGCACUCAUGGUCUGCUGUUAGUGACAUUGUGUAUUGUUGCAAGUUUAUAGGAAGUAAAGAAAAAUGCUAACAGAAGAGUGCCAGGUGGCAGCUAAGGAUGGGAAAAAGCAAGAAGAAACUUAAAAACACCACUAAAGAAGGU